rnacentral:rRNA from 1 species
AUUGAACGCUGGCGGCAUGCCUUACACAUGCAAGUCGAACGGCAGCACGGGGGCAACCCUGGUGGCGAGUGGCGAACGGGUGAGUAAUGCAUCGGAACGUGCCCAUUAGUGGGGGAUAACCAGUCGAAAGAUUGGCUAAUACCGCAUACGACCUACGGGUGAAAGCGGGGGACCGCAAGGCCUCGCGCUAUUGGAGCGGCCGAUGUCUGAUUAGCUAGUUGGUGAGGUAAUGGCGCACCAAGGCGACGAGCAGUAGCUGGUCUGAGAGGACGACCAGCCACACUGGGACUGAGACACGGCCCAGACUCCUACGGGAGGCAGCAGUGGGGAAUUUUGGACAAUGGGCGCAAGCCUGAUCCAGCCAUGCCGCGUGCGGGAAGAAGGCCUUCGGGUUGUAAACCGCUUUUGGCAGGAACGAAACGGCGACUUCUAAUACAGGUCGCUAAUGACGGUACCUGCAGAAUAAGCACCGGCUAACUACGUGCCAGCAGCCGCCGUAACAC